CCGGGUCCUCGCGCCCCUCUCCCCUCAGGGCGCAGCGCGGCGGGGGCGGCUCCUCGGGGGUCGCUCCUGGCGCCGCGCGGCGGCUCCGAGUGUGUUCUCGGGGGGCUCUUCCCUAGGGCCUUAGGUGAACCCCCUCCCUCUCUCGCUCUGGCUCCUCGCCCUGCCCCUCUUCUGUGACCGCCCGCGUUCAGUUCCUGAACAGGAAAUGUGAAAGUUGAUUAAAGCCAAAAUGAAGUUUAUUGUGUCAAAAUCGUACCUAUGGAGAUGGUUUACAUUGAGACUGCAGCACCUCAAAAUGGAUCUAUUGCUACUGAGAUAAUCUAAGCAGAGGUCUUGCAGAAGAUGGAAUGAACUUUUUUUUUAACAGUGACUCCAGAAGAUUCAGGAAAGUGACACAAUCAUACUGAGUUAAAUACAGCAGCAAAGUACGUAGUAUCUUCAAAUCCUGGACCAAGGAUUUUGUCUUAGCUCCAAGCUGAUGCCAGAGAGGAUCUAAAUAGUGACGUAUUGUCUAGAAGUAAAAAUGGGAAAGUUCAGGAUGUCAAAUAUAUAGUAUACUAAACAAGGCAAGAAUGCUUUUUUUUAAUUAUUCUUUAUGGGGGAUGACAUUAGUUUUGCAAAGUUAUUAAACACACCCAACUAAAGAUGUGAUGGUGAGGUAUUUGUUUUGGUAAGUAAUCACUUUUUGCAAAGUUAACAUAAUAUAAUGUAAAACAUUUCAACAGUUAGCAGAUGUAUAUAAUUUAACACUUUCAGUAUAUAUUUUCCUUCACGUAUAAUAAUAAAAUACUGGUAAAGUAAAAAACCCCUUUGUUUUACUGGUACUGGCAUGUGCCUUUAGUAUUUAGUAUCCUGUAGAAUUCUUUUUUACUUUACCUAAGUAAUGUCAUUUAAUUUUCAAAAUAAGAUGAGUGCAGAUAUGCAACCUACACAGCAUACGAAAAAAACCUCCAAAUAUUUAAAGUACAGAAGGCCUCACAUCAAGAUUAAAUGCAUGCAUGUGUGUAUUAUGUAUUAUAUACAGUGCUUCUCCUAAUAGAGAAAAAAUAGAAGAAGGAAAUUCAAGAGGAAAAAAAGCCUGUAACAGGGUUUCCAGCUUAUACGAGAACAGACAAUGGUGGUUGGGGAGAAGGGAACAGAACAUGAGUAGGAAAAGGUAACUGUAACAUCUUUCAUAUAUAACUUCUACAUAACAACAACAAAGGUCACAAACUGUUUCCAAAAUCUUUACAACGACAGUAACAGCAGUAUUUAAUAAUACUGCUAUUUAGAUAGUGUUCAAGGUGUGUCAAGACUGAGAUUAGUAAGGUAUUGCUAUUUUUUGAUGAAAAAAGUGAUUAGGAGUAAUCUGGCAAUGCAAAAAGGUAGUUUGCAUGGUUGAUAAAACAUGACAUCUUAAAUCAGUUUAAUCAUAGACCAGUGUCCUAGAGACUACAGGACACUACUUCACCAAGCACAAUCAAUUAUUCUUUGAAAGCCAGUCUGAAUAUUGUAUUUCUUAUGUCAAUGACAUGGUUUUACUGAUGAUUUGUUUUCCAGCCACUUGAUCACAGAAAGCCCUACAAAUGCAUGAUCCAUUAUCUAAAAAUAAUGUGGAUAUUUUCAAAUUGUAUGGUUUCAUAAGGCAAACAAGGUUGGAGCAAUUUAUUAAAAAAAAUAAUGGAAGAACUAUAUGUUUGUUCCUUUUACCUCAGUCUUUCUGGAAGAAAAGGAAUAAAUCUUCAAUGUCAAUAUUGGUUACCUGAACUCUUCAUAAUGAAUUAAGCUUUAGAGUAUUUUCACACAGAACAGCCUUACCUUUAUUUCAUUGAACUCUUACCAGUAAUGAGGUUUGCAGGAAUCCUGU